rnacentral:rRNA from 1 species
AUUGAACGCUGGCGGCAGGCCUAACACAUGCAAGUCGAACGGUAACAGAAAGCAGCUUGCUGCUUUGCUGACGAGUGGCGGACGGGUGAGUAAUGUCUUGUAAACUGCCUGAUGGAGGGGGAUAACUACUGGAAACGGUAGCUAAUACCGCAUAACGUCGCAAGACCAAAGAGGGGGACCUUCGUGCCUCUUGCCAUCGGAUGUGCCCAGAUGGGUUUAGCUAGUAGGUGGGGUAAAGGCUCACCUAGGCGACGAUCCCUAGCUGGUGUGAGAGGAUGACCAGCGACACUGGAACUGAGACACGGUCCAGAGUCCUACGGGAGGCAGCAGUGGGGAAUAUUGCACAAUGGGCGCAAGACUGAUGCAGCCAUGCCGCGUGUAUGCAGAAGGCCUUCGGGUUGUAAAGUACUUUCAGCGGGGAGGAAGGGAGUAAAGUUAAUACCUGUGCUCAUUGACGUUACCCGCAGAAGAAGCACCGGCUAACUCCGUG